GAUGAACGCUGGCGGCGUGCUUAACACAUGCAAGUCGAACGGAAAGGCCCAAGCUUGCUUGGGUACUCGAGUGGCGAACGGGUGAGUAACACGUGGGUGAUCUGCCCUGCACUUCGGGAUAAGCCUGGGAAACUGGGUCUAAUACCGGAUAGGACCACUUCUUGGAUGUUGUGGUGGAAAGUUUUUUCGGUGUGGGAUGAGCUCGCGGCCUAUCAGCUUGUUGGUGGGGUAAUGGCCUACCAAGGCGUCGACGGGUAGCCGGCCUGAGAGGGUGUACGGCCACAUUGGGACUGAGAUAAGGCCCAGACUCCUACGGGAGGCAGCAGUGGGGAAGAUUGCACAAGGGGCGCAAGCCUGAUGCAGCGACGCCGCGGGGGGGAUGACGGCCUUCGGGUUGUAAACUCCUUUCGCUAGGGACGAAGCGUUUUGUGACGGUACCUGGAGAAGAAGCACCGGCUAACUACGUG
rnacentral:rRNA from 1 species